rnacentral:rRNA from 1 species
CCUACGGGAGGCAGCAGUGAGGAAUAUUGGUCAAUGGACGAGAGUCUGAACCAGCCAAGUAGCGUGAAGGAUGACUGCCCUAUGGGUUGUAAACUUCUUUUAUAAAGGAAUAAAACGAGGCACGUGUGCCUUUUUGCAUGUACUUUAUGAAUAAGGAUCGGCUAACGCCGUGCCAGCAGCCGCGGUAAUACGGAGGAUCCGAGCGUUAUCCGGAUUUAGUGGGUUUAAAGGGAGCGUAGAUGGGUUGUUAAGUCAGUUGUGAAAGUUUGCGGCUCACCCGUAAAAUUGCAAUUGAUACUGGCAGUCUUGAGUACAGUUGAGGUAGGCGGAAUUCGUGGUGUAGCGGUGAAAUGCUUAGAUAUCACGAAGAACCCCGAUUGCGAAGGCAGCUUACUAAACUGUGACUGACAUUGAUGCUCGAAAGUGUGGGUAUCAAACAGGAUUAGAUACCCCUGUAGUC